UCUCCCACUCAUCACCCACCACCAGCCAGGCCUCUGGGGUCCCUGCACCCCACCCCACCCCACCCCCGGGUGUGAAAGCCCUGUAGAUGGAUGGCGAAGGGGAGGGGCGUGUGGGCUGGAUGCCAGAAUUGGUUACCCAAGGAUUAACCCUCUCCUGGGGAGGACAGAAUGGGAGGAUUCAGGAGACCAGGUCCUCAGGACAAGAGACCAGGUUGGCCUUUCCGUAACCCAGAUCUCCGGGGGACAGAGCACAGCGGUGGUUAGUGGGAAGGAUGCAAUUCUCUCUCCAGGGCAGAGUCUUCAAAAGAGAAGCUAUUGCCAGGGCAUGCCCAGGCCCCUACUUAGAACUGUGGGAGCAGAGACAGUGGGAAAACCACCCCCCACUCCGGGACCCUGUCUUUGGCCUUUUGGUUCCCUCUGGGCUCAGAGCAGAGUCUGGUUCAUGUAUGACCCCUGGGAGCAGGUGAGGGAACCCUGCCAGCUGACCCUGGCCCCAGCCCUGCCCCCUCUCCACCUCUGUGCACUUGCUACCUAGGCAGGCCUUACUGUUGCCCUGGUAACCACUGCCCACAGCCGUUCAGCUGAUGCUAUCAGCUGUCGUUGGGGAAAUCUAGAAUCUGGGGAGGGGGUUCUGGGGUAACAGAAUGGAACAGUCACAGGGGGAGGGUCUUGAGGGGACAGCUGAGAGUGUGCUCCAGGACUUGUUUCUCAAAGAGAGAAGGGCAGGAGAGGACAGGUCGGGACAGGAAGGGAGAGGCGUGUCUGCGGGAGACAGAGAAGAAAGAAUCCCGAAGGAUGGACUCCAGAAAGAGAGGAGAAAUUAAGAUGACAGGUCGCUGAGUGACUGAGGAAGAGUGGAAAGAAUCUGGGCUUAGCUGUUGGAUGUACCGCGGAACGGGGAGACAGGGGGAGACACAGGAUCUAUGGAACCAUGAGAAAAAGGCCAGGAGACGCUGCAGGAAGAGGUCUUCUUUGCUAACAGAGAUCCUGUUCAUUCUUCAAGAUCAUGCAAACCCCAGUCCUUCCCAGCACCGCCCCGCUGUAUACAUCCCUGGACCCACUGUGCCUGGCCGAGGAGUGGAGGACAUCACACUCUAGGUGUCACAGACAGGAGACAAUCUGGACUAUCCUCCUCCCUGGCUGCGGGGUGGUAACUGAAGGACUAGCACAGCGGCUGUAUCUUGUAGGAAAUACAUAAAUAUUUGGAUUAACUGCUUAGGACCCCUCCUGCUCAAGUCCACCGAAGGAUGGAGCUUAGAGGCAGGAUUCUGACUUUUCAUCCUACCUCCACCUUCAGGGACCACAGGUGCUGGGCCAAUGGCCACUGACUUCUUUUUGGGUCUCCAGUUGGUUUAUUUCUUCAAUAAAUACUCUGUGUCAC